AAUCAACGCUGGCGGCGUGCCUCAGACAUGCAAGUCGAACGCGAAAGUUUCCUUCGGGGAACAAGUAGAGUGGCGCACGGGUGAGUAACACGUAGGUAAUCUACCUUUGGAUGGGGAAUAACAACCGGAAACGGUUGCUAAUACCGCAUAAUGCAGCGGCACCUAAUGGUGACAGUUGUUAAAGCGGGGGAUCGAAAGACCUCGCGUCUGAAGAGGAGCCUGCGGCGGAUUAGCUAGNGGUAAGGUAAUGGCUUACCAAGGCGACGAUCCGUAACCGGCCUGAGAGGGCGGGUCGGUCACACUGACACUGACAUACGGGUCAGACUCCUACGGGAGCAGCAGUCGGGAAUUUUGGGCAAUGGGCGAAAGCCUGACCCAGCAACGCCGCGUGAAGGAUGAAAUCCCUCGGGAUGUAAACUUCGCAAGAACGGGAAGAAUAAGCGAGAGUU
rnacentral:rRNA from 1 species